CACGUAGGGCGCGAGCGUUGUCCGGAAUUAUUGGGCGUAAAGAGCUCGUAGGCGGCCUGUUGCGUCCGCUGUGAAAAGCCCGGGGCUUAACCCCCGGGUCUGCAGUGGAUACGGGCAGGCUAGAGGUAGGUAGGGGAGAAUGGAAUUCCCGGUGUAGCGGUGAAAUGCGCAGAUAUCAGGAGGAACACCGGUGGCGAAGGCGGUGGUCUGGGCCAGUACUGACGCUGAGGAGCGAAAGCGUGGGGGAGCGAACAGG
rnacentral:rRNA from 1 species